AUAUUUUAUUUUGGCUAACUCUUUCUGAGUCCUCUCUACGUUUUUCUAAUAUGAAUGUUGUAUUAUUUAUUUAUUUUUUAUAUGUUUUGUCGCUGCUUCUUUAGAGCAUAACUAAAGUUAGUAGAUCAAACAUGGAAUAUGGCUGCUCUGUCAAGGAAGAAUUGGGAAUUACUAUGCAAAGGGAUCAGUAUAACCUACCAGAUUUUGAAAAUGAGUUCGCAAACGCAAAGUUCUGUGUUAUCAAAUCUUACAAUUGAAGAUGACAAUCAUAAGAGCAUUAAAUAUGAUGUAUGGGCAAGCACUCCAAAUGGCAAUAAUAAGCUAGGUGCAGCAUUCCGUGAUGCAGAGCGAAGAUCAGGUUAAUGGAAGUGGACAAUUUGUUGAGAUGGUUGGGCAGAGACACUCAAGAGGAGGGGAAAAUUAAGCGUGCGGUCCAUCCAAUAUAACAACUUAAGAUUAAUGAGGAAGGCGUUCAAAGAUUGGAACAAAAUGAUGUGGAUGAAGACCAAAAUGACUUUUUGAAUCAUAAGGGAGAGGAACCACACCUCCUCUAUCAAAUUCAAAAUCUCUAUCUCUUCCUUGUUGCCUAUGCUAACCAAACUCAAAAUGACAACAGAGGGAUGCAAAUUCAAGCAUGAAUAAUUGCAAAUAUGGACAUCAAAUUUCAAUAAUAAGCAUUGAAAAUUUUGGUGCAAUCAUUCUGGAGAAAGAACUCAAACUUACACUUGGAUCUAGUGGAAAGAUUGGCUACACUUGAUAAGGAAUCACAAGAAAGACGCAGAAGGCUAUAAUGUUUGAGAAGUUUCAUUCUGAAAAUCCAUUGCUUCUCAGUCUUUGCAGAACUCUCUUCCCUAACAACCAUAAGUCUGUCUGGUGUGGACCUCACUCACUGGUUCAGCGUGAAGUUUAUGCUCGUACAAGUUCUAUUCUUGCUGCUAUUGAAACUUUGAUGACGUAGGUACUUUUUGAUUACUUCACAUUGUCACUACAAAGGAUCUGAAGCAAUCUUAUGCCUUGCCUAGAUAAAAUAUAGUGUUACAAUGUGGAAUGUUUGACAUAAAUUCCUACAUACAAAUGGAAUGUCCGGUAGUUAGUGGUUCUUCUCAGCUGAGGAUGAUAAUUUGCUCUGGUAUAGCUAGGGUGGGAAUGACAUACCUCAAGAUCGAUAACAUGAUCUUGAUUUACAAUCCUGUGUCAGCAUUUGUAGUGAUCUAUUGGGGAUGAGGGAAAAUAGAUACAUUGGUAUUUCUUAUUGCGAAAAUGAUUUAA